UGAGUCAGGACUAGAGUAGUCUCUAUGCAGAGGUCCAAUGCCUAGCUGAGUCAGAGUUUAGAGCAGUCUCUAUGCAGAGGUCCGAUGCCUGGCUGAGUCAGAGCUUAGAGCAGUCUAUAUGCAGAGGUCCAAUGCCCAGAUGAGUCAGGACUAAAGCGGUUUCUAUGCAGAGGUCCAAUGCCUAGCUGAGUCAGGACUAAAGUGGUCUCUAUCCAGAUGUCUGAUGCCUAGCUGAGUCAGGACUAGAGCAGUCUCUAUGCAGAGGACCAAUGCCUAGCUGAGUCAGAGCUAGAGAAUCUCUAUGCAGAGGCCCAAUGCCUAGCUGAGUCAGGACUAGAGCAGUCUCUAUGCAGAGGGCCAAUGCCUAGCUGAGUCAGGACUAGAGCAGUCUCUAUGCAGAGGCCCAAUGCCUAGCUGAGUCAGGACUAAAGUGGUCUCUAUCCAGAAGUCUGAUGCCUAGCUGAGUCAGAGCUAGAGCAGUCUCUAUGCAGAGGCCCAAUGCCUAGCUGAGUCAGGACUAGAGCUGUCUCUAUGCAGAGGUCCAAUGCCUAGCUGAGUCGGAGCUAGAGCAUUUCUAUGCAGAGGUCC